GUCUACGGCCAUACCACCCUGAACACGCCCGAUCUCGUCUGAUCUCGGAAGCUAAGCAGGGUCAGGCCUGGUUAGUACUUGGAUGGG
rnacentral:miRNA from 1 species